AGUCGAACGGGUGUAGCAAUACAUCAGUGGCAAACGGGUGAGGAAUGUACAGGAAUCUCCCUAGCAGUAAGGAAUAACUCUGAGAAAUCAGAGCUAAUGCCAUAUAUUACCCUCCGGGGAAAAGAUUUAUCGCUGUUAGAUGAGCCUGUAUCGGAUUAGCUAGUUGGUGAGGUAAUGGCUCACCAAGGCAAUGAUCCGUAGCUGGUCUGAGAGGAUGAUCAGCCACACUGGAACUGAGACACGGUCCAGACUCCUACGGGAGGCAGCAGUGGGGAAUAUUGGACAAUGGGCGCAAGCCUGAUCCAGCAAUACCGCGUGGGUGAUGAAGGUCUUCGGAUUGUAAAGCCCUUUUAGUGAGGAAGAUAAUGACGGUACUCACAGAAAAAGCACCGGCAAACUUCGUGCCAGCAGCCGCGGUAAUACGAAGGGUGCUAGCGUUGUUCGGAAUUACUGGGCGUAAAGCGUACGUAGGCGGUUUGGUAAGUCGAUUGUGAAAGCCCUAGGCUCAACCUGGGAACUGCAACCGAAACUGCCUUACUUGAAUUUGGUAGGGGAUGGCGGAAUUCCUAGUGUAGGGGUGAAAUCCGUAGAGAUUAGGAAGAACACCAGUGGCGAAGGCGGCCAUCUAUGCCAAUAUUGACGCUAAGGUACGAAAGCGUGGGGGAGCAAACAGGAUUAGAUACCCUGGUAGUCCACGCCCUAAACGAUGAGUGCUAGUUGUCGGG
rnacentral:rRNA from 1 species